AAUGGCGUUACACAGUAUGGGGUCUUUUGUGACCAACUUCUUUCAUUUCAUUUACUGUUUUCAAGGUUCAUCCAUGUUGUAGCAUGUAGUAGUACUUCAUUCUUUUUUAUUGCUGAAAACUUUUCCAUUUAUGUAUUUACCACAUUUUGUUUAUUCAUUCAUCAGCUGAUGCAGAUUUGGACUGGUUCCAUUUUUUGAGUAUUAUGAAUAAUUCUGAUAUGGUAAGGCAGAAUUUUUUUAAAACUCCCCCCAAUAAUUCUAAAGUGCAGUCAGGUUUGUGAUCAAUAAUCUCAUUGAUUACAAUAACUAAACAAUAUUUUUCACUGAAAUGACAAUCUUUUGGUCUGUCUUUCUCCUCUGUUUUAUCUAUCAUUUAGGACAAACAUGGCAAACUAUAGACCCCCAAUAAAUACUUGUUGAAAUAGAAAAGAAAAACCAAACCCUUUCAGAUUAGAAACCCAACAAAAUGACUCUUCUUUUCAUAAUCAAGAUACUGCUUCACCAGAGAUUCAAGAUCCAUACGGAAAUAUACUUUAUCUUAAAAAAAUAAAAUAGAAAUUUCUUCCGACAAUUUGUCCAAAUUUGAGCCUGUUGUGGUGGUAAUGGAGCUGGUGAAACAAUGCUCACUGUGUGAAUUCCAGAGUAAAGACUAGAUUGAAUCCAAUAUGGUCUACAAAUUAAGGUUGACCUUUACUAAGUUCCAAUAUCAAAAUUAAUUACUGCUGUGCCAAGUAAUUAUAAAAGAGCCAUUUGAUAUUUCACACUAAAGACAUGGUUAAAGAGAAAAAGGAACUUGGAUUAAUACCAUCUGUGGUUUCUAACCUUAUAAUGAUGACCAUUUCCUCUUUGGAACACUAGUUAGUAUAGAUGAUUAUUGUUAGGUUUAUUAACGUCCAUAGAGGUAUUAACGUUAGGGGGCUAUCCAUUCUGGUUUGCCUGAGAUGGAUCUGGGACAUCCUGGUCUACACCUGUUUUCCUGGCAUAUUAUUAAAAGCCUCUUUCACUGACUUGAUAGAUUUUGAACAUCAUCUUUAAGAAUCCAUUUUUUUUACCCAUUAUAUGGACUGAUUUUUAUCCAGAAGACCUUCCAGUUGUUUGUUUGUUCAUAAUAAAAGCUUUACAUCGUGGCAUUUAGAAACUAAACCUCUGCAAGUAGGCAUGUUAGAGCUUUACCACCUAGUCUGUUUUUGAGACUAAAUCCCCAGAGAUUGUCAUCUGCCUUGUUGCCAUGAAAUCAUGGUGAAGAAUGUGCACCUCUAUGACUUCUUGAGACACAUGAAGGCUGUCUUCUUGCAGAAAUAAUUAUAGAUCUCAGGAAGAAGAACUCUUUUCUCUAGUUGUCUUGUCCUUUGCUCAAAUCCUCCUUUCAUUGCCUUUGACUAUCUCCUUUUUAAAAAAUAUUCAAAUAGUCUUUUUUAUUUCUACAUCAGAAAUACUAUGUGCCAUUUAAACCUCCUUUUGAGCCCCAAGCUCCUUUUUUUUCCAAACCUUACUUCCAUGAAGCUCCCUCAUUGGAUGUAAGGAUGUCCUUCCUUCUAUCAGAAUCACCUAAGGAGGUUUUUAAAUGCAGAUUUCUAGGUCCCACUUUAGCUGUGCUGAUCUGAGUCUCAGGUUGGUACACAAGAAUAUCAGUCAAUGUUAACGUCAGUCCUCAUCUCUUUCCCAUUUUCUCUCCCCUUUCUCUUUCUUACCACUCCCUGCAUGGUUAGGGGUCUUGUCUUCAAAGAAAUUUGCUAAAAAUCAUAGUCCUUGGAUCAUAACCCUUUCCCAAGUUGCUGCCUGAUUCAGUAGAUCUGUCAUGGAACCCAGGGAAGUUACUGUUUCCAACAAAUAUAUCAGAAAACUUUUUGGAGAUCUGCGACAAUUUGAAAAAAUUUACAGGCAAACCACAUAGCCUAGAAAUAUUGAAAAAGUAAGAAAAGUAGGGAUGUCAUCCAUGCAUAAAAUAUAUGUAGAUACUAGUCUAUUUUAUCAUUAAUUGCCAUAAAAUAUACAUAAAUCUAUUAUAAAAAGUUAACAUGUGUCCAUUCUUAUACACACAGGCCAUACAUGGCACCAUUUGCAGAUGAGAGAAAUGUAAACAAAGAUGCGGUGUUGCUAUAAUUGCGUACAAUUAACUGUAGUGCAUACUAUACUACUAUAAUAAUUUUGUAGCCACCUCCUGUUGCUUUUGCAGGGAGCUCAAAUGUUGAGUAUCCACUUAAAACACUAUGUGACACUAAUCAUCUCUGUGUGAGCAAUUUGUUUCUCCAGUAAGUUGCGUGUCACAGUAAAAAGUGAUCUCUUGAGGUUCUUACAUGUUUUCCAUCUUGUUUAGUGCAAUACCAUAAACAUUGAAAAAUACCAGGGGACCCAUACAAGGUGCUAAUAGUGAUGCUGGAAGUACUCACAGGAAGCAGAGAAGUCAUGACAUUAUGAGAAAAAGUUGAAUCGCUUGAUAGAUAUAGUAGAUCAAGGUCUCCAGCUGCAGUUGCUCGCCAUUUUGAGACAAAUGAAUUCAGGGUAAGGACCAUUAUAGAAAAGAGAAAAGGAAAUUCCUGAAGCCGUUGCUGCAGCUAUGCCAGCAGGCACAAAAACCUUACACUUUUUUGCAAAAUGCUUUUUUAUCUCAUAUUGAAAAUGCAGCUUCUACAUGGGUGAAAGAUUGUUAUAAAAAAGGCAUACCUUUAGACUCAAAUAUGAUUUGAGGAAGAGUGAAGUAAUCUAAUGCCAACUGAAAGCAGAAGGAAGGUAAAGGAUCUAAAGCUGGAGAAUUUAAUGGCAGCAAAGGAUGGUUUGAUAAUUUUAGAAAGAGGUUUGGCUUUGAAAAUGUCAGGAUAACAGGAGAAGCAGCUUUUGUUGACCAAGGGGCUUGCCUCUCUUGCCUCCCCUACCACCUCCUCCAUCUCUUGCACCUCUGCCACCCCUGGGACAGCAAGCCCAACCUCUCCUCUUCCUUCUCCUCCUCAGCCUACUCAUUGUGAAGACGAUAAGGAAGAAGACCUUUAUAAUAAUUCACCUCCACUUAAUAAAUAGUAAAUACUCAUUGUGCCAUAGUUAAUAAACUUAUCUGUUAUAUGUGUGUGUGUCUUUGUGUGAAAAUCUAACAGCCAUACAGCAAGAACUCUUGUGAGAUGUUUUUGUGUCAUCAUCAUCCUCCUCACCGCAUAAGCAUUCAUGGUGUAGAACAAAGUGUGCAAGACUUGUAUUGAAAUGAUUAGCCAACCUUUCCACAGGCAUAAGGUGAGUGAUAUGUAAUAUAAAAUUAGUGUGAUAGGAAGAGC